rnacentral:rRNA from 1 species
GACGAACGCUUGCGGCGUGCUUAACACAUGCAAGUCGAACGGAAAGGCCCUGCUUUUGUGGGGUGCUCGAGUGGCGAACGGGUGAGUAACACGUGAGUAACCUGCCCUUGACUUUGGGAUAACUUCAGGAAACUGGGGCUAAUACCGGAUAGGAGCUCCUGCUGCAUGGUGGGGGUUGGAAAGUUUCGGCGGUUGGGGAUGGACUCGCGGCUUAUCAGCUUGUUGGUGGGGUAGUGGCUUACCAAGGCUUUGACGGGUAGCCGGCCUGAGAGGGUGACCGGCCACAUUGGGACUGAGAUACGGCCCAGACCCCUACGGGAGGCAGCAGUGGGGAAUAUUGCACAAUGGGCGGAAGCCUGAUGCAGCAACGCCGCGUGCGGGAUGACGGCCUUCGGGUUGUAAACCGCUUUCGCCUGUGACGAAGCGUGAGUGACGGUAAUGGGUAAAGAAGCACCGGCUAACUACGUGCCAGCAGCCGCGGUGAUACGUAGGGUGCGAGCGUUGUCCGGAUUUAUUGGGCGUAAAGGGCUCGUAGGUGGUUGAUCGCGUCGGAAGUGUAAUCUUGGGGCUUAACCCUGAGCGUGCUUUCGAUACGGGUUGACUUGAGGAAGGUAGGGGAGAAUGGAAUUCCUGGUGGAGCGGUGGAAUGCGCAGAUAUCAGGAGGAACACCAGUGGCGAAGGCGGUUCUCUGGGCCUUUCCUGACGCUGAGGAGCGAAAGCGUGGGGAGCGAACAGGCUUAGAUACCCUGGUAGUCCACGCUGUAAACGGUGGGUACUAGGUGUGGGGUCCAUUCCACGGGUUCCGUGCCGUAGCUAACGCUUUAAGUACCCCGCCUGGGGAGUACGGCCGCAAGGCUAAAACUCAAAGGAAUUGACGGGGCCCCGCACAAGCGGCGGAGCAUGCGGAUUAAUUCGAUGCAACGCGUAGAACCUUACCUGGGUUUGACAUGGAUCGGGAGUGCUCAGAGAUGGGUGUGCCUCUUUUGGGGUCGGUUCACAGGUGGUGCAUGGCUGUCGUCAGCUCGUGUCGUGAGAUGUUGGGUUAAGUCCCGCAACGAGCGCAACCCUUGUUCACUGUUGCCAGCACGUUAUGGUGGGGACUCAGUGGAGACCGCCGGGGUCAACUCGGAGGAAGGUGGGGAUGACGUCAAGUCAUCAUGCCCCUUAUGUCCAGGGCUUCACGCAUGCUACAAUGGCUGGUACAGAGAGUGGCGAGCCUGUGAGGGUGAGCGAAUCUCGGAAAGCCGGUCUCAGUUCGGAUUGGGGUCUGCAACUCGACCUCAUGAAGUCGGAGUCGCUAGUAAUCGCAGAUCAGCAACGCUGCGGUGAAUACGUUCCCGGG